rnacentral:rRNA from 1 species
UGAUAAAAGAUAAAGUGAUCUUAAUGAGUAUCUCUGCAGGCUGUAAAAAUAAAUGUAUAGAUGCAUAAAGAUUCGUAAGUACGGCUAAGUACGUAAACAUACUAAACCGCAGUGCCCGAGCUAGAGUAUGCGCAGGGAUGUGAAUGGUAGUGAGGGUGCGGUAUGAAGGAUAAAUUGAAAGGUGAAAACCCAAGUACGAGAUACAGUGAACUGAAACAUCUAAGUAACUGUUAAAAAAAAAUCACAAGAAUGACUGAGAGUAAAGGCGAUUAAAAUCAGUAAAGGUCAGACAAACUUCAUAAGACAUGGAGAUCCGUCUUCAAGGCCAUAGAGUACAGUCUAGCGAUAGAGUAGAGUAACGUGAGUGAAAGAUAACGAGUUGAGAUCAUAUAAGCAGAUAGAGUCUAAAGAGAUGAUAUUGUACCUUUUGCAUAAUGGCGGGUUUACUAAUUUAAUAUAGCGAGAUUCAAAUCCAUUCAAUUCCAUUCAAUUUCAUAAGAUUUAGAACCGAUCAAAAGAUAGAGUAAGGUACCUUUCAGACCAGGAAGGGGUAAGGGACCUGCAGAGGUGAGGGAGAUUGUAAGGGGUAGGAGGGUAUAGGUACGAGAGAGGGGAGAAAUAAGAGGAGGGUGAUGAGAUAGAGUCCUACCCAUCAGGAGGAUAGUUAUAUUAAGGAGACCUAAAACGACGUGAUCUAAAGUUGAUCAGGAUCAGAAUUUAAAGAAUCAGUCGUAAUAUGUAGGAUAAACGAGCGAGAUUUGUGGAUUAAGAGUCUGAACGAGUGGCUGUUACAUAAGCCUUUGAUGAAUUGACUUUAGUAGUGAAAAGCUAAAUCGAACGUCGUGAUAGUUGGUUGUCUGCGAAACAUGUUAGAGCAUGACCUAUCAUGAGAUAUAAACCUCAGGUGAGAGGUGAAGGAACAGGACGAGUACAGUAAAGAUUCACACGCAUAAUUCUUGGUUUCGUACUUUCGAUACACCAUGUGUAUUGGGUAAUGCGGGGGAUGUAGGUAAUAAGAGACCUACGAUCAAGGAGGUUAAUAGGGCAUAAAGAUGUGUACCUAUGUGAGUUAAGCUCAGAAAAGUAUUGUUAAAGAUGAUAGUUUCAGACGUACGAUGAUAAGGUCGUAUGUCGAGAGGGAAACAGCCCAAAGUGUAAGUUAAGGUUCCGAAUUACAUAACUCCACUAACGGAGUGGGGUAGUUUAAGUAGUAAUAAGGUUGUAUGGUCUCCAAAGACAAUCAUGAGGUGUGACUGGAAACAUCCAUUCUUUAAAGAGUACGUAACAGUACAAUGAUCUUGUAAUUAGACUAAGCCUAAUAACCUGGCCGAGUUCAGGGGAAGAUUCCCAGAUACAGAGAUAUGUAUGGGAGGAUGAUGUACGAGAGUAUAUCAGGGAGCUAAGAAGCAGAGAGACAUACUCCGAAGAUAUACGGGCUUAAAAUGUAAACCGAAACAACACUCAAACUAAUAUACGUAAAGCAGGGGGAUCACUCGACCGUGAGCCCAAGGGGGUAGGGGUUGAGGAAGAAUGCGGUAAGAUAUAGGAUGAUAGUAGCAGACCGUUCCUGUAUGUUUUCAAGGCUAAUACUCUAAAGAGGCCUAUAGGGGGUAAGAGGAGGAUAAAGUAUGGGAGUGAAUUAAAUGUGUUUCAUAUUUAAUGUAUCAGGGAGUGAGAAUGACUCGAUGAGUAACGCAAAAAUGUAGAAACAUUCAUCUUAAGUCUAGGAUUUGCUAAGAUAUGUGAACAUUCCGGUAUAGUACUCGAUCUAAGUUGACAAUGUUAGUGAAGAGAGGGAUAAAGGUAUAGGAGUGGUAAUGACAUAGUGAGGUAGUGUUAGGCGGUAUCUAAGCCAGAGCUAAGGAGCGAAAGGUGAUGAUAGAUACGUGAAGUUAAAAAGUAACAAGGUCUUAAAGUCCACAUGAUUUCGAACCGGAAGGGGGAGUGAAUGAGGAUAAGAGUGAUGGUGAUUUGAGGAUAGCGUAUAAAAACAGGAAAAGAGUAGCAAGAGAAGAGGAUAGUAUCUUCCUAUUCCCUGUCGAUGAUGGUAGGGAUAAAUUAGAAAUGAGGAGGAGGUGAAAGAGUAAAGGCGGAUCAAGCUAGAUAGACCGUAUCAUGCAACACAGAUAGACUGAUAUAAAAGUAUCAAGAUGAUAGCUUAAUACAUGUUAAGGAACUCGGCAAACUAGCUCUGUAACUUUGAGGAUAAAGAGUAGUCAAUAUAAACUUUAUAUAAGGAGCUUGUUCUCUCGUUAUGCAAGUAUAAUGGAUAUAUGUACGUAAUGCGGGGGGGGGUGGUAUAAAGAUAUAUAAACUCACAGACAAUAGUAGGGUGCGACUGUUUAACACAAACACAGAACUCUGCUACGGCGAAAGCCUAGGUAUAGGGUUUGACUCUUGCUCAGUGUCUAAUUUAGAAUAAAAGAGAUAAUGUGUUUAACCACUAGUAGCUUUUAAUAAAUAAUAAGAUCAACAGCAGUCUUAACUAUAAGGAUUCAAA